AGCCAGUGGCAUGAUUUUCUUGAAUCAAACCUYUUACAUCACUGGKGUGGCCUGCCCGGUGAAAUUUUUUAAACGGCUGCAGUAUCCUGACUGUACAAAGGUAGCAUAAUCAUUUGGCUUCUAAUUGGAGUCUGGUAUGAAAGGCUUUACGGAGUUUGACUGUCUCCUCCCCUUUCACUGUAAUUUGAGAGAAUGAUGAAGACGUCAUUAUACCCUAAAAGGACGAGAAGACCCCAGGAGCUUAAGGCUCGCUGUUUUAUCUCGUAAAUAACGGUUUGGCUAUUAGUUGGGGCGACUCCGGAACAGUGAAAACUUCCGUACUAUUUAAAACCGAAAAAUAGGAACCCUGUCAUCUCUGUAGCAACGGGGUUUUAUGUUAUUAAAAGUUACCCUGGGGAUAACAGCACAAUCUUUUAAAGGAGAUCUUAUYUUUUAAACAGGUUUGUGACCUCGAUGUUGGACUAAGGAAAGGGCUKGGCGCANAAGCUAARAACCCUAGGUCUGUUCRACCUUUAAACCCUUACAU
rnacentral:rRNA from 1 species